rnacentral:lncRNA from 1 species
AAUUUGGUUGCUUAUAUAGGGAAUCAUUGAAGCGUGACUUGAGCGGGCCCCCUCUUAGGUCAGUCAGUGGGCCCCCACUUAUGAAAAUUUCUGGAUCCGCCACUGAAAUCAAUCGUCUGUCUACCGUGAAAAAAGAUAAAGAAAUGACAAAGUUAUGAGGGUUUAAAGGAAAAUUAGUGUGCAGUUUUUAUUCAACACUACAUUGCUUUUAACAAAGAUUUUCGCUUCACCUGUCAAUUCCUGUUGAUGAGAAUUGGCAGAUAAUAAUCAUAGAAAAUAUACAAUUAUGUAAAGUACUUUAGUUACGGUGACCGGUAACGACCGGAAAGAAUAUUUGCAAUUGAAACAUAGAGAAAUUUAUCGGGAACAACGUAAAAGUGCUAGCCAUUGACGUUAAACAUUAAAAUUAAACACAUUGACGGCAAUGAGACAGAUAUUCGUUUCAUUUCUAUUGGUUAGAAGUUAACUUUAAACAUUAAAUUUUAAUUUUUGAUUACUUGAUAAAAAAUAUCACAAAAAAAUCGUAUUAAUAUGUAAAUAAUUAUAUUUCCGGUCAGUUUAUGACACCUCGGGUGUUUCCG